rnacentral:rRNA from 1 species
CCUACGGGCGGCAGCAGUGAGGAAUAUUGGUCAAUGGGAGAGAUCCUGAACCAGCCAAGCCGCGUGCGGGAAGACGGCCCUAUGGGUUGUAAACCUCUUUUGUCGGGGAACAAAACCCCUUACGUGUCCCGGACUGCGUGUAUCCGAAGAAAAAGCAUCGGCUAACUCCGUGCCAGCAGCCGCGGUAAUACGGAGGGUGCGAGCGUUAUCCGGAUUUAUUGGGUUUAAAGGGUGCGUAGGCGGUCCGUUAAGUCAGCGGUAAAAUUGCGGGGCUCAACCCCGUCGAGCCGUGGAAACUGGCGGACUUGAGUCGGCGAGAAGUACGCGGAAUGCGCGGUGUAGCGGUGAAAUGCAUAGAUAUGGCGCAGAACCCCGAUUGCGAAGGCAGCGUACUGGAGCCAGACUGACGCUGAGGCACGAAAGCGCGGGGAUCGAACAGGAUUAGAUACCCGAGUAGUC